rnacentral:rRNA from 1 species
UUUAGUAAUUAUUUAAAGUGUUGUCUGCCCGGUGACUAAUUAGUUUAACGGCCGCUUAUGUGCUAAGGUAGCAUAAUCAUUUGUCUUUUUAUUGGAGACUAGUAUGAAUGGAAUAACGAGGCUUAACUGUUUCUAUUUAUGAAUUAAAAAUUGAUUUAGAAAUGAAAAAUUUUUUAUUAUUAUAUAGGACGAAAAGACCCUAUAGAAUUUUAAUAUAAUGUUAUAUGAUAUUAAUUUUUAUAGUAGUUUUAUUAUAUAAUUUGUAUUUUUAUUGGGGUAAUAUAAGAAUAAUAAAGUUCUUAUUUUUGAAUUUUAUUAUGGUAAGUUUUGGUAUAUCCUUAAAAAGAAUUAAUAAAAAUUACCUUAGGGAUAACAGCGUAAUUUUACCAGAGAGGGCUAAUCGAAGGUAAAGUUUGCGACCUCGAUGUUGGACUAAGAUUACUUUAAGGUGUAGAGGCUUUAAGUUGUAAGCCUGUUCGGCUUUUAA